CCGGGGCGUUGCUCCGUCAGACUUUCGUCCCAUUGGGGGAAGGAUCCCCCUCCCCCUUGACUCCUUACCGAGCAGCAGUAGGGAAUCUUCCGCAAUGGACGAAAGUCUGACGGAGCAACGCCGCGUGAGUGAUGAAGGUUUUCGGAUCGUAAAGCUCUGUUGUUAGGGAAGAACAAGUGCCGUUCAAAUAGGGCGGCACCUUGACGGUACCUAACCAGAAAGCCACGGCUAACUACGUGCCAGCAGCCGCGGUAAUACGUAGGUGGCAAGCGUUGUCCGGAAUUAUUGGGCGUAAAGGGCUCGCAGGCGGUUUCUUAAGUCUGAUGUGAAAGCCCCCGGCUCAACCGGGGAGGGUCAUUGGAAACUGGGGAACUUGAGUGCAGAAGAGGAGAGUGGAAUUCCACGUGUAGCGGUGAAAUGCGUAGAGAUGUGGAGGAACACCAGUGGCGAAGGCGACUCUCUGGUCUGUAACUGACGCUGAGGAGCGAAAGCGUGGGGAGCGAACAGGAUUAGAUACCCUGGUAGUCCACGCCGUAAACGAUGAGUGCUAAGUGUUAGGGGGUUUCCGCCCCUUAGUGCUGCAGCUAACGCAUUAAGCACUCCGCCUGGGGAGUACGGUCGCAAGACUGAAACUCAAAGGAAUUGACGGGGGCCCGCACAAGCGGUGGAGCAUGUGGUUUAAUUCGAAGCAACGCGAAGAACCUUA
rnacentral:rRNA from 2 species